rnacentral:rRNA from 1 species
GCAAGCGUUAUCCGGAAUUAUUGGGCGUAAAGAGUUCGUAGGCGGUUUGUCGCGUCUGCUGUGAAAACCCGAGGCUCAACCUCGGGCCUGCAGUGGGUACGGGCAGACUAGAGUGCGGUAGGGGAGAUUGGAAUUCCUGGUGUAGCGGUGGAAUGCGCAGAUAUCAGGAGGAACACCGAUGGCGAAGGCAGAUCUCUGGGCCGUAACUGACGCUGAGGAGCGAAAGGGUGGGGAGCAAACAGGCUUAGAUACCCUGGUAGUCCACCCCGUAAACGUUGGGAACUAGUUGUGGGGUCCAUUCCACGGAUUCCGUGACGCAGCUAACGCAUUAAGUUCCCCGCCUGGGGAGUACGGCCGCAAGGCUAAAACUCAAAGGAAUUGACGGGGACCCGCACAAGCGGCGGAGCAUGCGGAUUAAUUCGAUGCAACGCGAAGAACCUUACCAAGGCUUGACAUAUACGAGAACGGGCCAGAAAUGGUCAACUCUUUGGACACUCGUAAACAGGUGGUGCAUGGUUGUCGUCAGCUCGUGUCGUGAGAUGUUGGGUUAAGUCCCGCAACGAGCGCAACCCUCGUUCUAUGUUGCCAGCACGUAAUGGUGGGAACUCAUGGGAUACUGCCGGGGUCAACUCGGAGGAAGGUGGGGAUGACGUCAAAUCAUCAUGCCCCUUAUGUCUUGGGCUUCACGCAUGCUACAAUGGCCGGUACAAAGGGCUGCAAUACCGCAAGGUGGAGCGAAUCCCAAAAAGCCGGUCCCAGUUCGGAUUGAGGUCUGCAACUCGACCUCAUGAAGUCGGAGUCGCUAGUAAUCGCAGAUCAGCAACGCUGCGGUGAAUACGUUCCCGGGUCUUGUACACACCGCCCGUCAAGUCAUGAAAGUCGGUAACACCUGAAGCCGGUUGCCCAACCCUUGUGGAGGGAGCCGUCGAAG